rnacentral:rRNA from 1 species
GAGUUUGAUCCUGGCUCAGAUUGAACGCUGGCGGCAGGCCUAACACAUGCAAGUCGAGCGGAAACGAGUUAACUGAACCUUCGGGGAACGUUAACGGCGUCGAGCGGCGGACGGGUGAGUAAUGCCUGGGAAAUUGCCCUGAUGUGGGGGAUAACCAUUGGAAACGAUGGCUAAUACCGCAUAAUAGCUUCGGCUCAAAGAGGGGGACCUUCGGGCCUCUCGCGUCAGGAUAUGCCCAGGUGGGAUUAGCUAGUUGGUGAGGUAAUGGCUCACCAAGGCGACGAUCCCUAGCUGGUCUGAGAGGAUGAUCAGCCACACUGGAACUGAGACACGGUCCAGACUCCUACGGGAGGCAGCAGUGGGGAAUAUUGCACAAUGGGCGCAAGCCUGAUGCAGCCAUGCCGCGUGUAUGAAGAAGGCCUUCGGGUUGUAAAGUACUUUCAGCAGUGAGGAAGGUGGAUAUGUUAAUAGCAUAUUCAUUUGACGUUAGCUGCAGAAGAAGCACCGGCUAACUCCGUGCCAGCAGCCGCGGUAAUACGGAGGGUGCGAGCGUUAAUCGGAAUUACUGGGCGUAAAGCGCAUGCAGGUGGUUUGUUAAGUCAGAUGUGAAAGCCCGGGGCUCAACCUCGGAAUUGCAUUUGAAACUGGCAAACUAGAGUACUGUAGAGGGGGGUAGAAUUUCAGGUGUAGCGGUGAAAUGCGUAGAGAUCUGAAGGAAUACCGGUGGCGAAGGCGGCCCCCUGGACAGAUACUGACACUCAGAUGCGAAAGCGUGGGGAGCAAACAGGAUUAGAUACCCUGGUAGUCCACGCCGUAAACGAUGUCUACUUGGAGGUUGUGGCCUUGAGCCGUGGCUUUCGGAGCUAACGCGUUAAGUAGACCGCCUGGGGAGUACGGUCGCAAGAUUAAAACUCAAAUGAAUUGACGGGGGGCCCGCACAAGCGGUGGAGCAUGUGGUUUAAUUCGAUGCAACGCGAAAAAACCUUACCUACUCUUGACAUCUACAGAAAGCCCAGCGGAAGACGCCAGGUUGUUGCCUUCGGGGGAACUUGUAAAAACAAGGGUGCUGCAAUGGCUGUUC